ACAGCACUUUGUUUGAAAGCGCUUUAUAAAUAAAGUUAGUUUUAUAUAAAUCUUAAUAUGUAUUCAUUCCUGCUCAGGUUCUUGUAUUCUUUUGCAGUCACAAUACUGAGAAUUUCUGUACACAAGCUUUAUUUUUAUUGCUACAAAUCUAAUUUUUAGUUGUUUGUUUGCAGAGAGGACUUCUGCCAGCAUCCCUUCUUCAACCAGCAGAUGUCAAGACGUCCAAAGGCAAAAAGGACACUAGAAUUUCCAGUGGGAUUCCCCUCCCACCAGGACUCAAGCCACCCACUCGCCCACAGUCUCAGCAUAGUCCUGCAGCUCCUCCUCAGGGACAUCUUACCUCAGACACACCUCCUCCAUCGUACAUUACUGCCACCCACUCUGAGACUCCCUCAGACACAGCCAAAGCACGA